rnacentral:tRNA from 1 species
GGGGAUAUAGCUCAGUGGUAGAGCAUUUGACGGUAGCUCAAGAUGUCCGAAGUUUGAAUCCUGGUGCCCCCU